rnacentral:rRNA from 1 species
CCUACGGGUGGCAGCAGUGGGGAAUAUUGCGCAAUGGGCGCAAGCCUGACGCAGCGACGCCGCGUGAGGGAUGAAGGUCUUCGGAUCGUAAACCUCUGUCAGCAGGGAAGAACGGUCACUGUGCUAAUCAGCAGUGAAUUGACGGUACCUGCAAAGGAAGCACCGGCUAACUCCGUGCCAGCAGCCGCGGUAAUACGGAGGGUGCGAGCGUUAAUCGGAAUUACUGGGCGUAAAGCGCGCGUAGGCGGUAUGUCAAGUCAAGGGUGAAAUCCCCGCGCCCAACGUGUGAACUGCCUUUGAUACUGGCAGGCUGGAGUAUAGUAGAGGUGGGUGGAAUUCCAGGUGUAGCGGUGAAAUGCGUAGAGAUCUGGAGGAACACCGGUGGCGAAGGCGGCUAACUG